rnacentral:rRNA from 1 species
CUACGGGGCGCUGCAGUGGGGAAUAUUGGGCAAUGAGCGCAAGCCUGACCCAGCAACGCCGCGUGAGGGAAGAAUGUCUUCGGAUUGUAAACCUCUGUCCUUAGGGACGAAAAAAAUGACGGUACCUAAGGAGGAAGCUCCGGCUAACUACGUGCCAGCAGCCGCGGUAAUACGUAGGGAGCAAGCGUUGUCCGGAAUUAUUGGGCGUAAAGGGUGCGUAGGCGGUAAUCCAAGUCAGAUGUGAAAGACCCGGGCUUAACUCGGGAGGUGCAUUUGAAACUGGGUUACUUGAGUACAGGAGAGGUAAGUGGAAUUCCUAGUGUAGCGGUGAAAUGCGUAGAUAUUAGGAGGAACACCAGUGGCGAAGGCGACUUACUGGACUGUCACUGACGCUGAGGCACGAAAGCGUGGGGAGCAAACAGGAUUAGAUACCCGCGUAGUC